AGCGCAGGCGGUUGGAAAAGUCUGAUGUGAAAGCCCACGGCUUAACCGUGGAAGGUCAUUGGAAACUGUCCAACUUGAAUGCAGAAGAGGUAAGUGGAAUUCCAUGUGUAGCGGUGAAAUGCGUAGAUAUAUGGAGGAACACCAGUGGCGAAGGCGACUUACUGGUCUGUGAUUGACGCUGAGGCUCGAAAGCGUGGGUAGCGAACA
rnacentral:rRNA from 1 species